rnacentral:rRNA from 1 species
AGCUGGUUGGUGAGGUAAGAGCCCACCAAGGCGAUGAUGGGUAGCCGGCCUGAGAGGGUGUACGGCCACACUGGGACUGAGAUACGGCCCAGACUCCUACGGGAGGCAGCAGCUAAGAAUAUUCCGCAAUGGACGAAAGUCUGACGGAGCGACGCCGCGUGGAUGAAGAAGGCCGAAAGGUUGUAAAGUUCUUUUGUUGGGGAAGAAUAACCAUGGGAGGGAAUGCCCGUGGGAUGACAUGAACCGACGAAUAAGCCCCGGCUAACUAUGUGCCAGCAGCCGCGGUAACACGUAGGGGGCGAGCGUUGUUCGGAAUUACUGGGCGUAAAGGGCAUGUAGGCGGUCUUGUAAGCUUGGCGUGAAAGACCACGGCUCAACCGUGGGAUUGCGUUGAGAACUGCGAGGCUUGAGUGACGGAGAGGGAGCUAGAAUUCCUGGUGUAGGGGUGGAAUCUGUAGAGAUCAGGAAGAAUACCAAUGGCGAAGGCAAGCUCCUGGCCGAUGACUGACGCUGAGGUGCGAAAGUGUGGGGAUCAAACAGGAUUAGAUACCCUGGUAGUCCACACUGUAAACGAUGUGCACUAGGUGCUGGUACGGAUGUAUCAGUGCCGUAGCUAACGUGAUAA